GGGGGUAUAGCUCAGCUGGGAGAGCGCCUGCUUUGCACGCAGGAGGCCAGCGGUUCGAACCCGCUUAUCUCCACCA
rnacentral:tRNA from 1 species